GACGAACGCUGGCGGCGUGCUUAACACAUGCAAGUCGAACGGAAAGGCCCUGCUUUUGUGGGGUGCUCGAGUGGCGAACGGGUGAGUAACACGUGAGUAACCUGCCCUUGACUUUGGGAUAACUUCAGGAAACUGGGGCUAAUACCGGAUAGGAGCUCCUGCUGCAUGGUGGGGGUUGGAAAGUUUCGGCGGUUGGGGAUGGACUCGCGGCUUAUCAGCUUGUUGGUGGGGUAGUGGCUUACCAAGGCUUUGACGGGUAGCCGGCCUGAGAGGGUGACCGGCCACAAUGGGACUGAGAUACGGCCCAGACUCCUACGGGGGGCAGCAGGGGGGAAUAUUGCACAAUGGGCGGAAGCCUGAUGCAGCAACGCCGCGUGCGGGAUGACGGCCUUCGGGUUGUAAACCGCUUUCGCCUGUGACGAAGCGUGAGUGACGGUAAUGGGUAAAGAAGCACCGGCUAACUACGUG
rnacentral:rRNA from 1 species